rnacentral:rRNA from 1 species
CCUACGGGAGGCAGCAGUGGGGAAUUUUGGACAAUGGGCGCAAGCCUGAUCCAGCCAUGCCGCGUGCGGGAAGAAGGCCUUCGGGUUGUAAACCGCUUUUGUUCGGGAAGAAAUUGACUGGGCUAAUACCCCGGGUUAGAUGACGGUACCGGAAGAAUAAGCACCGGCUAACUACGUGCCAGCAGCCGCGGUAAUACGUAGGGUGCGAGCGUUAAUCGGAAUUACUGGGCGUAAAGCGUGCGCAGGCGGUUUCGCAAGUCAGAUGUGAAAGCCCCGGGCUCAACCUGGGAACUGCAUUUGAAACUACGAAGCUAGAGUGUGUCAGAGGGGGGUUAGAAUUCCACGUGUAGCAGUGAAAUGCGUAGAGAUGUGGAGGAAUACCAAUGGCGAAGGCAGCCCCCUGGGAUAACACUGACGCUCAUGCACGAAAGCGUGGGGAGCAAACAGGAUUAGAUACCCUGGUAGUCCACGCCCUAAACGAUGUCAACUAGUUGUCGGGGAAGCAAUUCCUUGGUAACGCAGCUAACGCGUGAAGUUGACCGCCGNGGAGGUACGGUCGCGAGAUAAACUACAAGAAGUAGAGCGNGNGAGNGCGACGGCGACGACGAGGGAGAGG